rnacentral:lncRNA from 1 species
UAAAUGAUUUGAAGGUGGUUGCAUGCUUGUAUUGUUACUCUAAUAUGUAUAAUAUGACCAGUGCAAAACUAAUAUGUUAAGAAGCAUGCUAAAUGAUUGAAUUGAAUGUUUAAUGCAGUGAUUAAGAACUUCAAAGUCAUAAGUCCAAAAGAUAUUUGCGAACUAUAAAGCAAUGAUUAAGAAACUGUAUUGUUAACUUUGUAGUAUCUUAUAAACUAAUGUGG